rnacentral:ncRNA from 1 species
UGUGGUGGAUUCAAUGAAAAUGAACUGUACUUCUUUAUGGAGUGCUGUUCAAUUUUUCAACAUGAUCGUCCUUUUUUGUGCUUAAUUGUGCAAAAUAAUAGAUGUAUGGGGACGCGCAGUGUGGUGCCGUUGAAUAGUCGCACUGUUCUCUCUUUCUCUUCGGGGUUGGAGGAACAAUUGUCGAUCAGUCGGUUUCGGAGCGUGCACACUGGUACCCGAAAGAUGGUGAACUAUGCUUGAGCAGAAUGAAGCCAGAGGAAACUCUGGUGGAAGUUCGUAGCGGUGUUGACGUGCAAAUCACUCGUCUGACUUGAGUGUAGGGGCGAAAGACUAAUCGAACCAUCUAGUUGCUGGUUCCUUCCGAAGUUUCCCUCAGGAUAGCUGGCAUUUGUUUGUAACAAUUUUAUCCGGUAGAGCGAAUGAUUAGAGGUGUUGGGAACGCAAUGUUCUCAGCCUAUUCUCAAACUUCGAAUGGGUAAGCAAGGCGUUUUGCUUUGAUUUUACAAUGAAAUCGCCCAAUUAGAAUGUAUAAAUGCCUAGUGGGCCAAUUUUGGUAAGCAGAACUAGCGAUGUGGAAUGAACCAAAAGUCAGGUUAAGGUGCAAGACAUUGGCGCUCAUGAAAUACCGGAAAAGGUGUUG